rnacentral:rRNA from 1 species
UGCACCAGAUGAAACUAGAUACAAGCGAGCGGCGGACGGGUGAGUAACACGUGGGUAACCUGCCCAAGAGACUGGGAUAACACCUGGAAACAGAUGCUAAUACCGGAUAACAACACUAGACGCAUGUCUAGAGUUUAAAAGAUGGUUCUGCUAUCACUCUUGGAUGGACCUGCGGUGCAUUAGCUAGUUGGUAAGGUAACGGCUUACCAAGGCAAUGAUGCAUAGCCGAGUUGAGAGACUGAUCGGCCACAUUGGGACUGAGACACGGCCCAAACUUCUACGGGAGGCAGCAGUAGGGAAUCUUCCACAAUGGACGCAAGUCUGAUGGAGCAACGCCGCGUGAGUGAAGAAGGGUUUCGGCUCGUAAAGCUCUGUUGGUAGUGAAGAAAGAUAGAGGUAGUAACUGGCCUUUAUUUGACGGUAAUUACUUAGAAAGUCACGGCUAACUACGUGCCAGCAGCCGCGGUAAUACGUAGGUGGCAAGCGUUGUCCGGAUUUAUUGGGCGUAAAGCGAGUGCAGGCGGUUCAAUAAGUCUGAUGUGAAAGCCUUCGGCUCAACCGGAGAAUUGCAUCAGAAACUGUUGAACUUGAGUGCAGAAGAGGAGAGUGGAACUCCAUGUGUAGCGGUGGAAUGCGUAGAUAUAUGGAAGAACACCAGUGGCGAAGGCGGCUCUCUGGUCUGCAACUGA